AUCAUUAAUAAAUUUUAGCUCAAGUGCUUACCCACUGUCGAUCUUUUUAACACUUUUUUUUUAUCUUUUUAAUUUGAAAAUGGCAAAGCAAUUAAAUAGCAAGAAAUAACAUCAGUGAAGAGCCAGAGUUCAAACUAGGCAGAGUAUUUAGUUCUUAAGAGGAAUUCAGUAACAAUGUGAUAUGUAUUUAGUUCAAUAAAUUACCGAUUGUGAAUGAAUGUACACGCAACAUUGUAACGACAAAGACAAAUUAGUUUCUGUGAAAUACUUGGCAGGCAUGUUCAUACAAUUGCAUGCAGGUUGCUCUUAUAUACAGACAUAUAUAUCUAAUAUAUCGUAUAAGGAUGAAUAUGUAUAGUAUUAGCGAAGGAGAGUAAGAGCUAGACUGUAAUACAUGAUAGUAUAAAACUCGUCUGAAGCCAAACGGGUAUAAACUUAUUCGUCAGAGUAGCACAUACCAGCACAGUAACAUUAACUGAAUACUCCUCCUUCUAUUCCUUGUUCCUCCUUGCGUUCAUAAGUUCUCUGGUUCCCUGGUUUGGGUCUUUACAGUCGGAAACUGCUUGCUUCGUCUUACCAAAGUCAUUAGUAUUCAAACAUUACCAUCACUUAUAAACCAUUCAGAAUUUACUUGUGCCGUCUAAUCAAGUCAAUCGAACAAUGCAAUUAUUAUAAAUUAUCAUCAAAAAUUUUUAUAUAUUAUUUCUAUUAUUAUUUAACGCAAUCGUAAAGCAACAAAAAAAAUUAGAUUAAUUGAUUACUGACAUUUGAAUUUAGUACAGACAUUUAUAUCAUGCUUUGUUUGUCCAAGUACUUUUUAUUUCCAGAUCACUACAGAAUAAGCGUCACUGUAUAAUUUAGCGCUUUCAUUAAUAGUAUCGCGAACCACCAGCAUUGUAUUAUUGAAUGAAUUUCGCCAUAAAUUAUUACCAUGCAAUUAUAACUUUAAAGUAUUGUCAAUAUUAAUAUGCAAUAGCUUUGUAAACUUCCUACAAAUAUAUAUUUUAUUUAAAUUUUCAAAGAGAGUUUAAGUAAAACUACAGAAUAGUAAAAUUCCGCUUCAAAGUUUUGAAAGAAUUUGUUGAAAACAAGCUUAAAUCAGCCAGAAAUAUAUAUCCGUUUGCAUUUACACUCUAAAAUAAAAUCAAAAAGCUUUAUUGGUGACCCAAAAACUCCGAAACUAUGGACAAAAUAAAAGUAUUAAAUGUUACGUUACAUCUCC